AGUCGCCGGCCGACCCGGGGCAAUCCCUGAGGCGCCCAGUGGGGGGCGCAGAGCAGCGCUUUGCUCCGUUCGCCUUUCUCUUUCCCGCCGUUUGCGCCGAGCCGCUGGAGACUAACCAGCCGCCGCCAGGCAAUGGGUUCCACAAAGAAGCAUUGUAUGAUGGCUCAAGGUGAAGCAUUUCAGCUGUGAAGAUGUAUGGAGACCUCUAUCAUGACUUCAGUUGGUGACCAGUAAUUAUCCGUAAUUCCAAAAGAUUACCUGAGGAGAUCCUCUUCAUUGUGGAACCCCUCAUAAGGCAGCAGGAGCAGCAGUAGGCAUGCAGCUGUCUUCAGAAACAAACUUCAUAGCUAUGUAAUUUAAAACUAAAAAGGAUAGAGUGAACAAGUACCAUAGAUAAGAUAAGUGAAAACAGUCUUGGAAAAGACAAGAUGAAUGUUUCUGGAGGAAGUUGUGGGAGCCCCAGCUCUGCUGAAUCUACUGGUGACAUCUUCAAGGAUCUGUGGUCCAAACUAAAAGAAUAUCAUGAUAAAGAAGUACAAGGAUUACAGUUGAAAAUAUCCAAACUGAAAAAGGAAAGGUGUUUGGAUGCAGAGAGGCUUGAAGAGUUUUAUACCAAAAAUCAACAGCUGAGAGAGUAUCAGAAAGGACUUCAUGACACUAUCAAAGUUUUAGAAGACAGAUUAAGAGCAGGAUUAUGUGAUCGCUGUGCAGUAACUGAGGAGCAUAUGAGAAAGAAACAGCAGGAGUUUGAAAAUAUCCGGCAACAGAACCUUAAACUUAUCACGGAACUUAUGAAUGAAAAAAACAACUUACAGGAUGAAAAUAAAAAGAUAUCUGAAAAGCUUCAGCAGUUGCAGAAGCAGAUGAAGGGGAGAGAUCAACAAGCAGUGGAAUUAGAGGAAGGGGUCAUUCCAGAUUCACCAGUUCAAUCUUUUUCACUAUCCGUGGUUAAUCGUAUCCGAAGAAAGAAAGAGAACAGGCAUGUCCGAUACACAGAGCAAACACAUACAGAUCUGAAGCAUUCUGAAAGCACUAACGAGUUUGGAAAAGUUUCAUUGUCGUCAUCCACUCAAAUUCCUAACCAUGGUGGAAAGGAAAUACUAGUGGCAGACACCUGUGACCAAGAACUGUCCCCUAUAGCAAAUAAACAAGGGAUGGGAAGCUAUCCUGUUGCAAAGCCGUCUUUUAACUUGGCUGCAGUUGUUGCAGAAACAAUUGGACUCAUUCAAGAAGAAUCUGAGUCCCAGAGCGUACUGCAUGCUCUUAGAAGUAACAUUCCAGUGACCCAGGUGCCUCAGAGCCCACAGUGGGAAGAUUCCAGAAAACAGCUAGCUCAUGAAUCAUCAAGAAAUGACGACAACUUGGGACUUUCAGAUCCAUCUCAGAACACUCCACCAGAUGUAGACUGGGAUUCUCAGGUAGCUUCUCCUGUUUUCGGAGCAUCUAACAACAUGAAGAACAGCCUGACUUCAAGUCUUUCCCCUUCUGUUUUAGAAACAGGACAGAAGUCCAAUGCCAAAAAAAAACCUUUCAACAGUACUUUCAAUUCUAGAUCUCAUAAAGUUAGACCAAAAUCUGAAGAUGUUGCUCUUGUUGCACCACUUAAUCUUGGGGCUGAAAUAAACUCUGUUAUCAGCCAGGUCUCAGCCAGUAGGCAGAUGGUUGUGAAAAGCGAUGUUAAUGAAUCCAUAACUUGUGUGGUCAACACUUGCUCAGGUAAAGAUGAGAUGAUCAAGAAUGACUUCCUCCUUGCACCUCACAAACAAGUGGCAGAUAGAUAUGCUAAAAGAAAGAAAACAGAAGAUGAGCUUGUGACUAGCUGUGAAAAAACAUCUUUCAACAAAGAAAACUCUUCCCCUUUUCAAGCAGACUUUCAACCUGUUAAUGGAGAUCAUAUAACUGAUAAGCCUCUGGACCUGUCUGAUCGUUUUUCUGCUAUUCACUGUCAAGAAAAAAGCUCAAGAAGUGAUGAGAUCUGUAAAAAUAAACUAAGAGAGGUCACGCUGCAUGAUGUUUUUUCACAGCUGGUGAAGCCCAUUCCAAAGGGUUCUUCAUCCAUCCAAAAUAGCAACAAUGGAAGCUAUUUGUCAGGAAAAGAGUCACAAGAAGAUCCCUAUGUACAGGAGAUGAUUCUCCAGUCACAUGGCAAAACAUGUCCAGAUGAUAAACCUUUGAUGCAAAUAAAAGAAGAAAUCUCUGCUUUCAAAAUUCCAUCAUUGCCAAACACAGUGGAGACAGAACUACUUUUUGAUGACAUGAAGGUUGCUGGUGGCCAUGAACCAAUUAGAAAGAAAACCAGGACAGGACAUGGAGAAUGUGAGCUGGCAUCUGUGCUUCAACCAAACCCUUGUAGAAUAACAAAAACUAAACCACUGCAAAAUGAACAAGAUAAACCAUCCUUAGAAAAUAUGCAGUGGAGUAUAGAUCCAGGAGCAGACCUUUCCCAGUACAAAAUGGAUAUUAUGGUUAUUGGCACCAAGGAAGGCUCUCAAUCAAGAGUAGGAGGAGAGACUGACAUGGACUACACAUAUGUUAGUGAAAGCAUGCUAUUAAAAAUGAAAACCCAAGAGCAGAAAGGAGAAAGCAGUCCAAAGGGAGAAAGAAAAAUGAAUGAUAGCUUAGCAGAAAUGUUUGAUCGGACAUCAUAUGAAGAAUAUAAAUCGUGUCUGGAAGAGGAUAGUUCUUCAGCAUGUGAUGAAAAAGAAAAUCCUCUUGAGGAAAAGGAGGAAAAGGAGGAAGUGUUAUCAGCAAGCAAACUAAUGAAGCAUGAGAAUAAACAAGAUAAAACCAAGCAGAAAGCUUUUGUGGAGCCAUAUUUUAAAAGUGAUGAAAGAAAAAAUACUGUGUUAGGUUUUCCUCAUAUUGAGGUUGUUCGGAAGAGAGAAGAGAGAAGAAAAUUGCUGGGCCAUACCUGUAAGGAAUGUGAAAUAGACUUUUCCUCCCAACGAACCCAGUUCUCGUUAUAUUUUGUAUUAUGCAGAUAUUCCAGAGGGGGAGAGAGAAAAGAAGUUGGCUGCUUGUUCAAGACAUCGAUUCCGCUACAUUCCUCCUAGUACACCAGAAAACUUCUGGGAAGUUGGAUUUCCUUCCACUCAAACUUGUGUGGAAAGAGGCUAUAUUAAAGAGGAUCUUGCGCCCUGUCACCGUCCAAAAAGAAGGCAGCCUUACAAUGUGAUGUUUUCUCCAAAAGGCAAAGAACAGAAGACAUAAAUGAUGGGGAAACAAAGCACAUAAAUGUGGGGAAAGUCUUUCCUGUCAUUAGAUAUUUAUAGUUAAUAUAAACUUGAAAUAAAAAUACUGUGGAUUUUUCCAAAAUGAUAAAUCAUUUAAUUAGAUAUGUAAAUCAUUUCCCUCUUAGAAAGUUCAUUUGAAAAUCUGAAGUAUGUAUCAGGAAACACUACUAUUUAAUGUAUGUUUGUUUCAUUUUGUGUUAAUAUGUUUUGUCUUAAUUUUGCACCUUUAAGACAGUAGGUCUGCUCCUGUUUCCUCCCAUUGAAGUCAAUGGCUAAAUGCCCAUUGGACCAUAUCCAAACCUGAAGUAAGGUGGGUGUGACUCCUUUGAACUCAGUGGAGUUCUGCCUGCUCAUUCUAAGUCUAAAUGUUGCUUAUAAAUUUCAGUGGGAGCAGGACUGGACCUGGUGGGGGGCUUCCAUUUUGCACUGGAUAACUUAAAGGAUUUAUCACCUUCCCUUUUUUGUAAUAAUUGUGAUAUAUCUAAUUGCAAUAAACAAAGUAGUAUUUAUUAAUGA